rnacentral:lncRNA from 1 species
CUGAUUGGAGUAGUAGGAUUGACAAAUGAUAUCCCACUGAGAGUUGCUCGUCUUUUCCCGUUAAUUGUUACCAGAGGCUUAUUUUUCAACACGUAAACAUCGGUCACAUUGAUUGAGCCAUAUCUGAAUGAGCCUUGAGGGUUGGGACGUGCACCACUUGCAGAAACAUUCCAUCUGCACAGUUUGACCGUAGAAUCCUCACAGUGAAUUAUAACGAGCAAAGUUUAUAAUAAUGUGAAAAUUCUCUAAUACAGAAAUGCAAUUCCGUUAAAAUUUGAUUGCAAGGUUAUAAUACAAUAUUUUCCUUUGGAGCAGCAAGGAAUAAGUAGCUUAUUUGAGGUCCUAAUUUUUCAAAAUUUUGAAGCACACAGUACUUUUUUCUCAAAUCCCAGUUCCUUUUCUAUUUAUAGGGAAAGAUGAAAUUAUUAAUCAGAGCACUCAUUAAGUUCAGAAUUGCUAAACAAUGCAGUAAGGCAUUUUAACCACCAUAGAAGCCAACCUGAUGGAUCUUGCUUGGUUCAUUGAGAAGGUUUUGUCAAACUCAUCAUUAGGUGCCUCUGGAAGGGGACCCUUUGCCUUCCCCUUGGAAUUUGUGUAAUGCAAGAUUGCAACACCAGUAACCCUUUUCCACUGCGAUUCAUUCACAAACCUUGCACUAGCUACAAUGUAGUAAUCAGUACUUGCGUUCUGAUCCAUUGUC